rnacentral:rRNA from 1 species
CCUACGGGUGGCAGCAGUGGGGAAUAUUGCACAAUGGGGGAAACCCUGAUGCAGCGACGCCGCGUGAGAGAUGAAGGAUUUCGGUAUGUAAAGCUCUAUCAGCAGGGAAGAAAAUGACGGUACCUGACUCAGAAGCCCCGGCUAACUACGUGCCAGCAGCCGCGGUAAUACGUAGGGCGGAAGCGUUAUCCGGAUUUACUGGGGGUUAAGGGAGCGUAGACGGCUGUGCAAGCCAGGUGUGAAAGCCCGGGGCUCAACCCCGGGACUGCAUUUGAAACGGUGUGGCUGGAGUGUCGGAGAGGCAGGCGGAAUUCCUAGUGUAGCGGUGAAAUGCGUAGAUAUUAGGAGGAACACCGGUUGCGAAGGCGGCCUGCUGGACGAUGACUGACGUUGAGGCUCGAAAGCGUGGGGAGCAAACAGGAUUAGAUACCCUAGUAGUC